rnacentral:piRNA from 1 species
GAGCAAAGGGGAUGGGUCUGGGGCAGGGCA